rnacentral:rRNA from 1 species
AACGAACGCUGGCGGCAUGCCUAACACAUGCAAGUCGAACGAGACCUUCGGGUCUAGUGGCGCACGGGUGCGUAACGCGUGGGAACCUGCCCUUAGGUUCGGAAUAACUCCCCGAAAGGGGUGCUAAUACCGGAUAAUGUCUUCGGACCAAAGAUUUAUCGCCUUUGGAUGGGCCCGCGUUGGAUUAGCUAGUUGGUAGGGUAAAAGCCUACCAAGGCGACGAUCCAUAGCUGGUCUGAGAGGAUGAUCAGCCACACUGGGACUGAGACACGGCCCAAACUCCCACGGGAGGCAGCAGUGGGGAAUAUUGGAAAAUGGGCGAAAGCCUGAUCCAGCAAUGCCGGGUGGGUGAUGAAGGCCUUAGGGUUGUAAAGCUCUUUUCCCCGGGAUGAUAAUGACAGUACCGGGAGAAUAAGCCCCGGCUAACUCCGU